rnacentral:rRNA from 1 species
GAUGAACGCUGGCGGCGUGCUUAACACAUGCAAGUCGAGCGAAGCAUUUUAAAGGAAGUUUUCGGAUGGAAUUUAAAAUGACUGAGCGGCGGACGGGUGAGUAACGCGUGGGUAACCUGCCUCAUACAGGGGGAUAACAGUUAGAAAUGACUGCUAAUACCGCAUAAGCGCACAGUGCUGCAUAGCACAGUGUGAAAAACUCCGGUGGUAUGAGAUGGACCCGCGUCUGAUUAGGUAGUUGGUGAGGUAACGGCCCACCAAGCCGACGAUCAGUGGCCGACCUGAGAGGGUGACCGGCCACAUUGGGACUGAGACACGGCCCAAAGUCCUACGGGAGGCAGCAGUGGGGAAUAUUGGACAAUGGGGGAAACCCUGAUCCAGCGACGCCGCGUGAGUGAAGAAGUGUUUCGGCAUGUAAAGCUCUAUCAGCAGGGAAGAAAAUGACGGUACCUGACUAAGAAGCCCCGGCUAACUACGUGCCAGCAGCCGCGGUAA